GGUUAAGCUAAUAAGAGCGCAGGGUGAAUGCCUUGGCGUUAGGAGCCGAAGAAGGACGCGGUCAGCUGCGAAAAGCUGCGGGGAGUUGCAAGCAAACUGUGAUCCGCAGAUAUCCGAAUGGAGCAAUCUGUUAAGUAGAACUUAACAUCGUAUACUGAAUCAAAUAGGUAUACGAGGGUAACCGCCUGAACUGAAACAUCUAAGUAGGGCGAGGAAAAGAAAUCAACCGAGAUUCCGUUAGUAGUGGCGAGCGAAAGCGGAAGAGGCCAAACCGAGUGUAGCAAUACGUUCGGGGUUUAGGACUGCAUAAAGCAUUGAGAAGACUUAGCUGAAGUGGAUGGGAAGCCACAUCAUAGAGCGUGAGAGUCGCGUAAGCGAAAAGUCCGAUCAGCCGGCAGGAUCCAGAGUACCGCGGGACACGAGAAAUCCCGUGGGAAGAUGGGGGGACCACCCUCCAAGCCUAAAUACUACCUAACGACCGAUAGCGAAUAGUACUGUGAAGGAACGGUGAAAAGUACCCCGGGAGGGGAGUGAAAUAGCACCUGAAACCCUGUGCUUACAAGCACAUAGAGCACGUCAAUGUGUGAUAUGGUACCUUUUGUAGAAUGGUCCGGCGAGUUAUUGUAUGCAGCGAGGUUAAGGACUUAAGGUCCGGAGCCGUAGCGAGAGCGAGUCUGAAUAGGGCGAAUUAGUUGCAUGCAAUAGACCCGAAACCGAGUGACCUAUCCAUGUCCAGGCUGAAGUGGAGGUAAAGCUCCAUGGAGGGCCGAACGCACGCCUGUUGAAAUAGUCGGCGAUGAGGUGUGGAUAGCGGAGAAAUUCCAAACGAACUCGGAUAUAGCUGGUUCUCUCCGAAAUAGCUUUAGGGCUAGCCUCAUGACAGAUUACCGGAGGUAAAGCACUGAUUGAGCUAGGGGGCGAAAGCCUACCGACCUCUCUCAAACUCUGAAUGCCGGAUAAUCGAUUCAUGGGAGUCAGACAGUGUGUUAUAAAGCUCAUUGUCAAAAGGGAAACAGCCCAGACCCACAGCUAAGGUCCCUAAGAACUGUUAAGUGGAAAAGGAUGUGGAAUUGCGUAAACAACCAGGAUGUUGGCUUAGAAGCAGCCACUCAUUAAAAGAGUGCGUAAUAGCUCACUGGUCGAGUGACUCUGCGCCGAAAAUUCAACGGGGCUAAACAGUUUACCGAAGCUUGGGAUUCAGUCUUAAUGACUGAGUGGUAGGAGAGCGUCGAAUAAGGGGUGAAGUCAGAGCGGAAGCGCUGGUGGACUUUAUUCGAGUGAGAAUGCCGGAAUGAGUAGCGAGAAUUAUGUGAGAAUCAUAAUGGCCGAAAAUCUAAGGUUUUAGGAGGAAGGUUCGUCCGCUCCUAGUUAGCCGGAAGCUAAGACGAGGCGGAAACGCGUAGCCGAUGCACAUACGGUAGACAUUCCGUAGCCGCUAAAAAACUUAAACCAAGGGACACAUGUGAAGGGACUAGCCGGAGAUUGGUUGAUCCGGUCGAAAGGGACACGAUUGAGUGGAAGUAGUUUUGGAACAUGGCGAGAAAAGCUUGGCGUAUGUUUGCAGCGUCCGUACCGCAAACCGACACAGGUAGAUAGGAAGAGGAUUCCAAGGCCAGCGAGAGAAGGGUUGUCAAGGAACUCGGCAAGUUGACCCCGUAACUUCGGAAUAAGGGGUACUCAAGAGAUUGAGUCGCAGUGAAUAGGCCCAGGCAACUGUUUAUCAAAAACACAGGUCUAUGCUAAAUCGAAAGAUGACGUAUAUGGGCUGACGCCUGC
rnacentral:rRNA from 1 species